rnacentral:lncRNA from 13 species
AUGACGUUUUACCCAACCCCUCCAGGCAGUAAAACGGAAAGACUCGGAAUUUGCCUCUGCGCCAUCUUUUGGCUGUUACCUGUGAUAUCCUUGAGUCUCAUUCUGUUGCCCAGGCUGGAGUGUGAAGUCAUGAUCUUGGCUCACUGCAACCUCUGUCUUCUGAGUUCAAGAGAUUCUUCUGCCUCAGCCGCCUGAGUAGCUGGGAUUACAGGCAUGCACUACUGUGCCUGGCCAAGUUUUGCAUUUUUAGUAGAGACAAGGUUUCACCAUGUUGGCCAAUCUGGUCUUGAUCUCCUGACCUCAUGAUCUUCCUACCUUGGCCUCACUAAGUGCUGUGAUGACAGGUGUGAGCAACCUUAAUAGCUUUGCCUUAAGCCCUUUCUAAAUUAUUCAAGACAAACCAAAAUAUACCUCUUUGCCUCUAGGCUUAGUUUUGGCCUUCAAGUAUUAAUUUGCCCUUUCUAAGAAAAAGAUGCUUUCUAGGAUGAAAAACUGUAAUUUCUGUUUGGGGAGGCGGCAGGGCAGUGUUCCCUCUUCAACUUGUUGAUGUCAUUUUUGGCUGAAGUUAUAUCCUAUACUGUAUGAGUGAGUCUCUAAGGGAGAAAAACUAAAGAAUGAAAACUGAACUUUGCAGUUGAGAAGAACUUAUGAGUGCCAUAACAAAUUAACCUUAGUCCAUAUAAAAUAAUCCAAAGAGUGAAAAUUAAUCCCCCAAUCCUCUAGUGCUGAGCUGAGGUGAAUGUGUGAAGUAAAGCAGGACUGAGUUGGGUAACGUCAGCUAAGGGCUUUGAAAAGACACGCUGGUUCCAUAGUCAUUCAUACCCUCUGCCUGGCCUGCAUUCCUCACUGAUCUUUAGAAAUUGGAGAAAGCAGACCAUUUAGAUUUUAGGGAUUUAUUUAAUUUUAUUUUUUGGGACUGAGUCUUGCUCUGUCGCCAGGCUGGAGUGCAGUGAUCUUGUCUCACUGCAGCCUCUGCUCCCCAGAUUCAAGUGAUCCUCUUGUUUCAGCCUCCCAAGUAGCUGGAAUUACAAGGGUGCACCAGAACACCUAGCUAAUUUUUGUAUAUUUAGUAGAGACUGUUUAACUCCGUGUUGGCAAAGCUGGUCUCAAACUCCUGACCUCAAGUGAUACACCUGCCUCGGCCUCCCAAAGUGCUGGGAUUACAGGAGUGAGCCACCACACUCAGCCAGGAUUUUUUUAAAUAAACUUUAAUUUUUUUUAUGAUAAAAGAAAACC